rnacentral:rRNA from 1 species
GACAGAGGUGCCGAGCGUUAUCCGGAAUCACUGGGCUUAAAGCGUGUGUAGGCGGACUUCUAAGUACCUUGUGAAAUCCCGGGGCUCAACCCCGGAACUGCAUUUGAUACUGCUCGGCUAGAGUACUGGAGAGGAGACUGGAAUUUAGGGUGUAGCAGUGAAAUGCGUAGAUAUCGUAAGGAAGACCAGUGGCGAAGGCGAGCCUCUGGACAGUUACUGACGCUGAGGCACGAAGGCCAGGGGAGCAAACGGG